rnacentral:rRNA from 1 species
GCCUAGGAAUCUGCCUGGUAGUGGGGGAUAACGUCCGGAAACGGACGCUAAUACCGCAUACGUCCUACGGGAGAAAGCAGGGGACCUUCGGGCCUUGCGCUAUCAGAUGAGCCUAGGUCGGAUUAGCUAGUUGGUGGGGUAAUGGCUCACCAAGGCGACGAUCCGUAACUGGUCUGAGAGGAUGAUCAGUCACACUGGAACUGAGACACGGUCCAGACUCCUACGGGAGGCAGCAGUGGGGAAUAUUGGACAAUGGGCGAAAGCCUGAUCCAGCCAUGCCGCGUGUGUGAAGAAGGUCUUCGGAUUGUAAAGCACUUUAAGUUGGGAGGAAGGGCAGUAAAUUAAUACUUUGCUGUUUUGACGUUACCGACAGAAUAAGCACCGGCUAACUCUGUGCCAGCAGCCGCGGUAAUACAGAGGGUGCAAGCGUUAAUCGGAAUUACUGGGCGUAAAGCGCGCGUAGGUGGUUCGUUAAGUUGGAUGUGAAAUCCCCGGGCUCAACCUGGGAACUGCAUUCAAAACUGACGAGCUAGAGUAUGGUAGAGGGUGGUGGAAUUUCCUGUGUAGCGGUGAAAUGCGUAGAUAUAGGAAGGAACACCAGUGGCGAAGCGACCACCUGGACUGAUACUGACACUGAGGUGCGAAAGCGUGGGGAGCAAACAGGAUUAGAUA